GAGGACGUCGAAGGUGGGGCUGAUGACUGGGGUGAAGUCGUAACAAGGUAGCCGUACCGGAAGGUGCGGCUGGAUCACCUCCUAACAGGGAGACAAACAACGAUUUUGAUGUCUGAGUUUUUUUAUUCUUAGGCCAAAAUCCUGUCACCUUAGGUCGAUCGGUACCUCAACUUUGAAGCUAAGAGAGUCCAGCAAUGGAUUUCUGCUUAGUUGAGAUUUUUAGUUCCUAAACUUUGUCUAGUUCACAACCCAUUAGGGAUGAGACUCCUGGGCCAUUAGCUCAGGUGGUUAGAGCGCACCCCUGAUAAGGGUGAGGUCCCUGGUUCAAGUCCAGGAUGGCCCAUUCGGUGUAGGGGGUUUAGCUCAGUUGGUAGAGCGCCUGCUUUGCAAGCAGGAUGUCAGGAGUUCGAGUCUCCUAACCUCCACUGACUACCAAGAAUCCCCAUCUCCAAAGCCUGGAGUAUGAACUCGUAUGGAUUGUGAUUUAGAUGUGUACGCUAGAUGACCCUAGCUUCUUGUCAUUUUA
rnacentral:misc_RNA from 1 species